rnacentral:piRNA from 1 species
AGAAGGACCCUCGUUGUUGACUCUCUAA